AUUGAACGCUGGCGGCAUGCUUUACACAUGCAAGUCGAACGGUAACAGGCCGCAAGGUGCUGACGAGUGGCGAACGGGUGAGUAAUGCAUCGGAACGUGCCCAGUCGUGGGGGAUAACGCAGCGAAAGCUGCGCUAAUACCGCAUACGAUCUAUGGAUGAAAGCGGGGGACCGUAAGGCCUCGCGCGAUUGGAGCGGCCGAUGUCAGAUUAGGUAGUUGGUGGGGUAAAGGCUCACCAAGCCAACGAUCUGUAGCUGGUCUGAGAGGACGACCAGCCACACUGGGACUGAGACACGGCCCAGACUCCUACGGGAGGCAGCAGUGGGGAAUUUUGGACAAUGGGCGCAAGCCUGAUCCAGCAAUGCCGCGUGCAGGAAGAAGGCCUUCGGGUUGUAACUGCUUUGUACGGUAACGAAAAGGACUCUGGUUAAUACCUGGGCACAUGACGGUACCGUAAGAAUAAGCACCGGCUAACUACGUG
rnacentral:rRNA from 1 species